ensembl:lncRNA
UUAGAGUGUAGAGGCGGCAGGGUAGCCUAGUGGUUAGAGUGUAGAGGCGGCAGGGUAGCCUAGUGGUUAGAGUGUAGAGGCGGCAGGGUAGCCUAGUGGUUAGAGUGUAGAGGCGGCAGGGCAGCCUAGUGGUUAGAGUGUAGAGGAGGCAGGUAGCCUAGUGGUUAGAGUGUAGAGGAGGCAGGUAGCCUAGUGGUUAGAGUGUAGAGGAGGCAGGUAGCCUAUUCAAAUCCCCGAGCUGACAAGGUACAAAUCUUGUCAGACAAAUCUGUCGUUCUGCCCCUGAACAGGCAGUUAACCCACUGUUCCUAGGCCGUCAUUGAAAAUAAGAAUUUGUUCUUAACUGACUUGCCAAGUUAAAU